rnacentral:rRNA from 1 species
GAUGAACGCUAGCGGCAGGCUUAAUACAUGCAAGUCGAGGGACAGCACAGGUAGCAAUACUGGGUGGUAACCGGCAAACGGGUGCGGAACACGUACACAACCUUCCUUUAAGUGGGGGAUAGCCCAGAGAAAUUUGGAUUAAUACCCCGUAAUAUAGUUGAAUGGCACCAUUUGAUUAUUAUAGCUACGGCGCUUAAUGAUGGGUGUGCGGCUGAUUAGAUAGUUGGCGGGGUGACGGCCAACCAAGUCUACGAUCAGUAGCUGAUGUGAGAGCAUGAUCAGCCACACGGGCACUGAGACACGGGCCCGACUCCUACGGGAGGCAGCAGUAAGGAAUAUUGACCAAUGGACGCAAGUCUGAACCAGCCAUGCCGCGUGAAGGAUUAAGGUCCUCUGGAUUGUAAACUUCUUUUAUUUGGGACGAAAAAGGGCCUUUCUAGGUCAACUGACGGUACCAGAUGAAUAAGCACCGGCUAACUCCGUGCCAGCAGCCGCCGUAA